rnacentral:snRNA from 1 species
GUACUCACUUUGGCAACACAUACACUAAAACUGAAACAAUACAGAGAAGAUUAGCAUGGCCCCUGCACAAGGAUGAUAAUAUAUAUAUUUACAUAAUAUAUAUGUAU